UACAGAGGGUGCAAGCGUUAAUCGGAAUUACUGGGCGUAAAGCGUGCGUAGACGGUUGCGUAAGUCAGAUGUGAAAGCCCCAGGCUCAACCUGGGAAUUGCAUUUGAGACUGCGUAGCUAGGGUGCGGAAGAGGGAAGCGGAAUUUCCGGUGUAGCGGUGAAAUGCGUAGAUAUCGGAAGGAACACCAGUGGCGAAAGCGGCUUCCUGGUCCAGCACCGACGUUCAGGCACGAAAGCGUGGGGAGCAAACAGG
rnacentral:rRNA from 1 species